rnacentral:rRNA from 1 species
CGUCUAUAUACGUAUAGCAUAUCAAUAAGCGGAGGAAAAGAAACUAACUAGGAUUCCCUCAGUAACGGCGAGUGAAGCGGGAAGAGCUCAAAUUUGAAAUCUUCAAGGUUCUACCUUGACGAAUUGUAGUUUAAAGAAGUGUUUUCUGUUGGAGUUUUGGUAAAAGUUCUUUGGAAUAGGACAUCAUAGAAGGUGAGAAUCCCGUAUUUGACCAUUAUUUCCAACUUUGUGAUACACUUUCAAAGAGUCGGAUUGUUUGGGAAUGCAGUCCAAAAUGGGUGGUAAAUUUCAUCUAAAGCUAAAUACUGGCGAGAGACCGAUAGCGAACAAGUACCGUGAGGGAAAGAUGAAAAGAACUUUGAAAAGAGAGUUAAACAGUACGUGAAAUUGUCAAAAGGGAAGCGUUUGACACCAGUGUUGUUUUCCUCGAAAAUCAAUUAAAAAUGGCUGGGAUUUUGUGUUGUAUUGACUCUUAUAAGCUUUCUGCACUUUUUUCCUUAUCUUUUUUAAUGCACUUUUCGUUUAACAAGUCAACAUCAAUUUCUUUUGUUGUAAAAGAGGUCAUUGGAAGGUGGCUUUCUUUUCGGAGAAAGUGUUUAUAGCCUUUGACUUCUGCAAUCGGAGAGAUUGAGGUCCGCAGCGUAGAUCCUUCGGGGUUAGAUGCAUUUGUGCUAAGUUAUAGCCUUUCAUAGACAACUUGUUGACUAUGAUCAGUCAUGUAGCUUACUCGCUUAUGUCAUUUUACCUACGCUUAGGAUGUUGACGAUCAGCUGAGCGCG